AUGAGUUCAAUACACCUGUGGCUCUGUCCGUGACUGUGGGUGAGAUUUGGUGUCCAGAGUCAUGGGGGGCCUCAGCUCACUGCCCACUUGGUGUGGGGAGGUGAAACCCAGGCCCUGACAUGU